GGAGGAAAAGGAGGGGAGGGAAGCAGAGGAGGGCGUUGGUGGAGCAGCAACAUCCUUUUCCUCUGUCCCACUCAGAGGCACCACCUCCCUCCUUCCCUCCUCUUCUUUCUCCUUCUCCUCCUCCUCCU
rnacentral:miRNA from 1 species